AGUGUUUUUCUUUUACUAUACAUGUUGUUUAGUGGGACUUCUGCCAUUCCAGGUCAGAGUGCAACUGAGAUUCAUAUCCGUGUCACUGAGGCAUUUAUAAUGAACUCCCCUUUAUUGUGUGGCUUUUUAGCUUGUGUAAUGUCCCAAACCAGUUAAAACUGUAUCUGCUUUUCUGCCUGACUUCUCAAAGUUACCAACUUGUGUUUGAGAAGUUCAGUGCCUUUUUGUAAUUCCUGGUUGAUGUUAGCAUGGAGUGAUCUGAAGUGGUGCUGAAGAUUUGAAAUGCUCUAAUGACGCCUGACAUGAAGCAGAAUGACGUCAUUACAUUCAACAAAAAAUAUCAACUCUCCCAUUCUGUUAAAAACGUCCUGUGUUCAGCUUCAUAUUUUCGUUUUGCUGUGCAUUUUUUCCCUGCUGCCAUUUUAAAAGCGAAUUUGUCACAAAUUGUUACUUAAAAUGCAAGUGAACAAUUUGCAUAUAGAAGUUUGUGGUUUUUGUGCAAACACAAACUUCGAUAUGAACGUUAGAGCCGCAUGCUGCUCGGCCACCCCUGCUCUACACGUUCCUGAACAUGUUUCCGGGUUAGUCACGUGGGCUUUGUCUGUGCGUUCUUCACGCACGCUUCCUACGUCAUCACGUAGCCACCAGUUGUGUGCGUGUGUUUCUCCUGAGCAGGUUCUCGUCUCCUAUUGGACAUGAGAUUCUGGACAUUUUUCACAUUUCACAGCGACUGUAGGUGAAACUUGACUUCCUCUCUGUCAAUGUGUUUGUGUGUGUGUGUGUGUGUGUGUGUGUAGGUUUGAUGUUUUAUUAUUCGUGUGUUUUUAAAACUUUAUUUGAGAAAUUCCGAUUAACACCGGCGGAACUGUUGUGCGGUUGCCAUGGGUGAUGGAGCGGUACAUGGUUUUGGGUCACAUUGGAGAAGGUGCGUUUGGGAAGGCGUUGUUGGCCCGAGAGAGGUUCGGUUCGUGUCGGCGCUGUGUGUUGAAGCAGGUCAGCCUGUCCAGGAUGUCCGCUCAAGAAAGAGAAGCUGCCAAAAAGGAAGUGACCAUACUGUCUAAAUUAAAGCAUCCCAACAUUGUGACUUUCUUCCACUCAUUUCAUGAGAGAAAUAGUCUCUACAUAGUAAUGGAAUACUGUGAUGGAGGAGAUCUGAUGCAGAAAAUCAUCUUGCAAAAAGGAAAGCCAUUCUCAGAGGAACAGAUAACAGACUGGUUUGUUCAGAUGUGUUUGGGUCUGAAGCACAUUCACGACAGAAAAAUUCUGCACAGAGACAUCAAAGCUCAGAAUGUCUUCCUCUCUCACGGGGACAAACGAGUCAAACUCGGAGACUUCGGCAUCGCCCGGGUCUUAAAUAAUACGGCAGAGCUGGUGAUGACGUGGGUCGGAACGCCCAACUACAUCUCGCCCGAGAUCUGUGAGAACAGGCCUUAUAACAACAAAACUGAUAUUUGGUCCCUCGGCUGCAUCCUCUAUGAGCUCUGCACACUCAAACACCCAUUUGUAGCCAAGAGUUGGAGGCAGCUGAUUGUAAAGAUCUGUAGGGGGAGCUAUAAUCCAAUCUCAGACCAUUACAGUGCUGAACUCAGGCUGCUGCUCUCCCAGGUGUUUAAGGUCAGUCCCCAAGACCGGCCCUCAGUCAACACGCUGCUGAAAAACCCCCUUCUGCACGGACGCAUCUCCAAGCACCUGGACCCACAGGUCAUGGAGGAGGAAUUUAGUCACCAAAUUCUGCACAAAGACAAACCUGUAGCACAGCAUGUUAACAAGCACAUUGCAGUUCUACCAAGGCCUGAUCCAGCAGUAAAGCCCCUAAACAGGUUUCCUCCCAGAUCAGAACGCAGAUGUCCCAUAGUAAAGCCUUGUGGCUCACCAAAUAAAAGAAUUCUCGGUCCAGCAGCAGGUUUCCAAGUGGCACGAGGAGCAGGAAACCCGGCUCAAUGCGAGACCAAGCCCAACGCACAUCUGCAGAACUGCUGGCAGAACCAUGACCAUCAGAACCAACAGCCACGUUUUCAUCAAAUUCCUGUUCAGCCUCUCCCUUUUUAUUCUCCUCCUCUUCAUCCCCUUUAUUUUGUAGCACAAGAACUUAAUGAGAUGGAGAAGCUGGACAACAGACCAAACGCUCUGGAUCCUUUCCAGCUUGUGGCAGCAGCACGGGAGGAAUACCUGCAGAGAAGACAAGAAGCAAACCACUACAAACGCAGAGCAGAGAAGCAGCUGGGUCUGAGGCCCAGUACAGCAGAAGCAGAACGGUACAGAGGCCUCAGUGAGAGUGUCGCUCCACCACAACAAGUGGCACAAGACCGAAUCCAGGGAGAGCAGGAAUAUCUCAGGCAGCUGCAGCAAAUCAGGAAACAUUACCAAGACGAGAUCAGAGGGAUGAGGCAGAGAGCCAAUGCAGAGGUCGAGAAUCAUGCAGCGGGGGGGGACCUGAAGCUUCCUACAGAAAAUCAUACACACUUACAAAACGGAGAACAGAAACCUGCAGAUAUGGAAAAUGCUCUGAAGCAGGUCCUCCAGCAGAACCAGAAGGAGAGCAGAGAGCGACGGAGAAAAUACAAAGUAAGGAAAGCGGUCAUGUUCGAGAUCAAGCUGCAAGACGACAGAGAGCAGGGUGAAAGAGAGAAAGAAGAGCAAGAAACGGAGGAACAGAACGAGGUUGGCUGUCAGGAGAAAUCUGCCAACCACAAACUCUCGAGGCCUGCAGGCAAAGCUGACGUCAAGCCCGAAGAAAGAGUUGAGGAAGAAGAAGAGAGUGAAGGAGAGAAACGAGUGAGAAGAGGGCUGUGGCGACAUGAAGCUCCUCAAACUCUUCUGAAUGCUCUGGCCAACAUGAAGGUCUUCAUGUAUUCAUCUACACAGGAAAGAGCUACUGAUCAGGAAGAGAAGAACCCAGGUCCACAAGAGAGAAGAAAAUGGUCAGAUCGCCCUCCUGUUACACUCCUUAAUGCUCUGGCUGAGGCACAGCUCACCUGCUCUUCACUGGGUGAGGUGGACAUGUUCACAUCUCAAGCUGACCAAGGAACAGUUAAUCCUCUGGAUAAAGGCAACACACCGGAGGACGAGAAGGAAAAGUCGGUAGAAGCUAAAAAAACAGAGGAUAAAGAGAGGACUACUCAGACGUGGAGUUGGACAAGGAGCGUCUGGAGCCCAGAUCAGACGACGAUGACACGCGAGUUUCUUUUUUCUUUUUACAAACGCAACAAAACGUAUACUGUUAAAAUUGAAAUAAAUGAAAAAUAUUGAAUUCUAGUCUAAUCCAUCAACUUUUCCCAAUUCUUUAUGAUUUCCUGGUGACCUAAAUCUCCUCUCUGACCUUGACUUUACUUCAUAUUUUGGAUCAUUUGUUAAAAUUAAUUAGGACAUGUUUCCGGAACCUGACACUCGUGCACAACUCGACUCUGAAUACGUCCAACUUUCCCGAUUGAAAUAUUUCAGACUUACACGUACAUAAAAUCUAAAAAUCUAACUGUAUCCAUUAAUUCAGUUCAAUCAGUCUAAUGUCUCCUUCUCUCACAUCUUCUCAGGAACUUCGAGGAGUCUGAGGAUGAGAUGAUAAAUGAGGUGAAUGACUCCAUGAGAAACCUCUUUAUCAUGACAGAAGACCAGGAGGUUCAUGGCAUGAAGGAGACGGAUGAAGGAACACAGAGACCCCCCCCGCACAUCACUGGAACAGAGCCGGCUCUUGGCUGAGCAGGAAUAAAGCCCUGAACCAUGAGGAUGUUCUGAUCGGUUUCAGGUUCCGAUCGGUUUCUCACGACCGGUUUCUGCACACAUCAGAUUCAAAACUAAAAAUGGACCAGCACCUUCUUACUUCAAAACUCACUGCCUGAGGUCUUGUAGCACUGCUCGACUGGUCCCACCUUCUCUCAGGAUGAGAGGAAUGUCUACAUCAAGACUCUGUGUUCUGGCACCGAGAUGGUGGAAUGAAUUUCCCCUGGAUGUUCCGAACAGCUGAGUCACUGCCUUUUCUUCAAAAGACGGAUGAAGCUGUUCUUCCUGAAACACUUAAACUAGCACUUUCCCCAACACCCC